UACAGCGUACUGCGAAUGGCUCAUUAUAUAAGUUAUCGUUUAUUUGAUAGUACCUUACUACUUGGAUAACCGUGGUAAUUCUAGAGCUAAUACAUGCUAAAAAUCCCGACUUCGGAAGGGAUGUAUUUAUUAGAUUAAAAACCAAUGCCCUCUGGGCUCCUUGGUGAUUCAUAAUAACUUUUCGAAUCGCAUGGCCUUGCGCCGGCGAUGGUUCAUUCAAAUUUCUUCCCUAUCAACUUUCGAUGUUUGGGUAUUGGCCAAACAUGGUCGCAACGGGUAACGGAGGGUUAGGGCUCGACCCCGGAGAAGGAGCCUGAGAAACGGCUACUACAUCCAAGGAAGGCAGCAGGCGCGCAAAUUACCCAAUCCCGAUUCGGGGAGGUAGUGACAAUAAAUACUGAUACAGGGCUCUUUUGGGUCUUGUAAUUGGAAUGAGUACAAUUUAAAUCCCUUAACGAGGAACAAUUGGAGGGCAAGUCUGGUGCCAGCAGCCGCGGUAAUUCCAGCUCCAAUAGCGUAUAUUAAAGUUGUUGUGGUUAAAAAGCUCGUAGUUGAACCUUGGGCCUGGCUGGCCGGUCCGCCUCACCGCGUGUACUGGUCCGGCCGGGCCUUUCCCUCUGUGGAACCUCAUGCCCUUCACUGGGUGUGGCGGGGAAACAGGACUUUUACUUUGAAAAAAUUAGAGUGCUCCAGGCAGGCCUAUGCUCGAAUACAUUAGCAUGGAAUAAUGAAAUAGGACGUGUGGUUCUAUUUUGUUGGUUUCUAGGACCGCCGUAAUGAUUAAUAGGGACAGUCGGGGGCAUCAGUAUUCAAUUGUCAGAGGUGAAAUUCUUGGAUUUAUUGAAGACUAACUACUGCGAAAGCAUUUGCCAAGGAUGUUUUCAUUAAUCAGGAACGAAAGUUAGGGGAUCGAAGACGAUCAGAUACCGUCGUAGUCUUAACCAUAACUAUGCCGACUAGGGAUCGGACGAUGUUAUUUUUUGACGCGUUCGGCACCUUACGAGAAAUCAAGUGCUUGGGCUCAGGGGGAGUAUGGUCGCAAGGCUGAACUAAAGAAAUGGACGAGGCACCACAGGUAA
rnacentral:rRNA from 1 species